AUGCUUGAUAAAGCUCAACCAAAUGUCUUGGUACACGGAAAAUUUUUGCCCAGUGCCCUUUUUCACCGCAACGAUAACAUAUAGUUUCUGAACUAUUUGCAUUUGGAUUCUCAUAAUUCCAUUUCCGCUUUUGGUGGUUUUAUCUCUUUGGGGGGUGACUAACACCAGGAAAAUUUCUUCCUUGUCCACGUCCACGGCCAUGNNNNNNN
rnacentral:lncRNA from 1 species